AAUGGGCGAAAGCCUGAUCCAGCAAUGCCGCGUGAGUGAUGAAGGCCCUAGGGUUGUAAAGCUCUUUUACCCGGGAAGAUAAUGACUGUACCGGGAGAAUAAGCCCCGGCUAACUCCGU
rnacentral:rRNA from 1 species